GAACAGAAGAGGGCGGUAAUGCACCAAUAAGCUGGAUGCCAACCGCCGUUAAAUUGGAAAGAAGACGAAUAUGACAGCUUGCUGUGAGAGACAACGGGACAGAUGAGACACACGUGUGUUUAUCUGCUGCAGAGACACUGAUGAAGGAAUGCUAACAUCAAAGGAUAUGUGUAAGUACACUACAAAAAUAAAUGAAACAUUUUAAAUCUUAAGCUGUAUUUUAUUUUAAUGUAAUUUUAAACAACUAUUACACCUCUUUUCUUAUUCUUGAUUUAUGUGCGUUUGCUGCAGAUCUUUGGUGGUGGAGCAGGACCUGCAAGGAAAGGUGAAAAAAAGGGAAAACCUGAAACAAAAGAAUAAUGUAGUCGUGCUCAUGGGGUGCAGGCACAUGAAAGUUCGGAGCAGACACAGCGGUCAGAUUGUCCUGCACGUGUUCCCCUGCUCUCGCUUCAAGGUUGUGUGGUUCAGAGAGCCGUCAUCAAGGUCUUCCUCAUCCUGUUGCUCAACGACAUCCCCGUUGAGAAGAGUGAGACUGUGAAGUGCAGCGGCAGAACUUUAUCAGCUGUGUUCAGAUGGCAGGAGGAUGUUGGGUUCACCAUCUGUAAAUACAUGAUUGUUAGAACAAUACGUUUGAAUGAAGCUUUGUUUCAUGUGUUGUUGACUUGUACAUGUAUGCAUUUAUUGUGAUGCUAACUUUUAUACAUUGUUUUAAUCAUCUAGACAUGUUUUUUGUUCUCAGUAAAUAAAAUAUAAAUAUUUUAUCCAU